GCUUGAGGCUCUACGUCAGUCAUCAUAAAGCACCGGAAACUAGGAGGAGAGGAAGUUUUAAUCAAAACGAAAUGAAAAAGAAGAAAAAAGAACAUUAGAAUCGUUAAUACACACCUAUUCUACACAUAGAGCCAAGCACAGAGUUGUACCAAGAUAUAUGGAGAAGUUUUAGUAUGACUGCGAAAAGCUCAAGGCACGAACACGGUCGUGACACGGCAAGGCAGACGCCAGCCCAAUCAGCUGUGAGAAUUUAAUCUCCACCCAAUCAAAAACAGGCACGAACACGGGAUGGACACGGUCACGCCAAUGUCACGGCACUGCCAGACCAAUCACAUUGCGCGAGAUAAAAAUCCCCCAAUCAAAGUUCUAGAAAACAUGAGGGUCGAGGCAAGGCUCGCAUGCGGCACCGAUUUCUUUACAGCCAUACGAAAACUGGUCUAUAAUAUCGGAGUAAAAUUUACGAGACACGAUUUUUGGCUUAUUCGCUGUCUGGGCUCUCCUUUCAAUGCCAGCAUGACGCGAUAAAAAUCAAACCAGAACAGAAUAAAUGAGUGUAAUAA